UGGGGAAUAUUGCGCAAUGGGGGAAACCCUGACGCAGCGACGCCGCGUGGGUGAUGAAGGCCUUCGGGUCGUAAAGCCCUGUCGGGAGGGACGAAACCCUGGCGGUCUAAUAGGCCGUCAGCUUGACGGUACCUCCUAAGGAAGCACCGGCUAACUCCGUGCCAGCAGCCGCGGUAAUACGGAGGGUGCGAGCGUUGUUCGGAAUUACUGGGCGUAAAGCGCGUGUAGGCGGCUCUUUAAGUCUGAUGUGAAAGCCCGGGGCUCACCCCCGGAAGUGCAUUGGAAACUGGGGAGCUAGAGUACCGGAGAGGAGGGUGGAAUUCCUGGUGUAGCGGUGAAAUGCGUAGAUAUCAGGAAGAACACCGGUGGCGAAGGCGGCCCUCUGGACGGAUACUGACGC
rnacentral:rRNA from 1 species